rnacentral:tRNA from 51 species
GGGGGCGUAGCUCAGCUGGGAGAGCACCUGCCUUGCAAGCAGGGGGUCAGGAGUUCGAUUCUCCUCGUCUCCACCA